GCAAGACCGUGAGGUGGAGCAAAACUCAAAAACUUGUCUCAGUUCGGAUUGUAGGCUGAAACUCGCCUACAUGAAGCUGGAGUUGCUAGUAAUCGCGAAUCAGCAUGUCGCGGUGAAUACGUUCCCGGGCCUUGUACACACCGCCCGUCACACCAUGAGAGUUGGCAAUACCCAACGUACGUGAUCUAACCCGCAAGGGAGGAAGCGUUCUAAGGUAGGGUCAGCGAUUGGGGUGAAGUCGUAACAAGGUAUC
rnacentral:rRNA from 1 species